rnacentral:tRNA from 1 species
AUGUAACUCAGUGGCAGAGAACUUGCCUGGCUUGCAUGAGGCUCUGGGUUCAAUUCCCAGUAU